rnacentral:rRNA from 1 species
GACGAAGGUGGCGAGCGUUGUUCGGAAUCACUGGGCAUAAAGCGCACGUAGGCGGCGACGUAAGUCGGAUGUGAAAUCCCUCGGCCCAACCGAGGAACUGCGUCCGAUACUGCGUUGCUUGAGGGUCAAAGGGGUGCAUGGAAUUCCCGGUGGAGCGGUGAAAUGCGUUGAUAUCGGGAGGAACGCCGGCGGCGAAAGCGGUGCACUGGUUGACUUCUGACGCUCAUGUGCGAAAGCCAGGGGAGCAAACGGG